UUGUUUGCUUGCGUCCAACUUCUUUAUGGCAGCAGCCUGUCCACUUUUAAGAAUUCCAUAAUAGACUCUUCCAUAUGAGCCCUCUCCAAUUAAAGAAUUCGUCCCGAAGUUGUCAGUUACUUCCUUCAAUUCGUCUACCGGAAUUGCAGGGACUGCAAUAGGCUGGACCUUCACAGCUUGAGCCUUGGAUGCAGAUUCUGUGGUAUGGUAACCUCCGUCAUUUCCUAUGUGAAAGGGAUUCCACGGGUAAGUUGAUCUUCUUCUUUGCUACCAAUAAAAGCACCAGCAGAUAAUCCUCGAAUAUAUGCAGUAGACACAAGAUGAUCUCUUAAAGAUGGCUAUAUCCAUAUGAAUAUACAAAAGAAAGGACAAGUCAUCAUAAAGAUACCAAGAUUCGAUACUAAACGCAACAACUGAAGGAAAUAUAUACAUAUAUAUAUAUAUAUAUAUAUGUACACACAGACACAUAUAUAUACAGACACACACACACACCACACACUUGCUGUCUUUCUCAGUAGGACUCAGUGCGGCUUUUGCACAGAGAAGAAAAUGUGAAGGUGAAAAUUGAACAAGCAAGAUUACCAGCGAAUGUUUAACCAUGUAAUGGCCACCACAUCAGCGGGUUUGUUGAGGUCAUCUUCUUCACAACAGCUGAAACAGCUCAUAGUUUGUUUAUUUAACAAAUAUUUUAUGCAGGGUGACUUUCCUUUCCUGCAAGGGCCAAAAGCCAGUUUCGCAAUACAUGCAGAAAAAAGAAUGGCAGCAUAAGUAAACACAUAAGAUGCAAGCUUAGUCAUAAGUGCUGGAGAAGAUUGAUCGUGCUUAAAUAGGUAAGAAAGCUUGUUCUUUCAAAGCACGAGCGGGACUACAAAAGUUACACAAUAUGCAUUUGACCUCUGAAAUAUAGUUAGCGGCAU
rnacentral:lncRNA from 1 species